rnacentral:rRNA from 1 species
CCUACGGGAGGCAGCAGUGAGGAAUAUUGGUCAAUGGGCGGGAGCCUGAACCAGCCAAGCCGCGUGAAGGAAGAAGGCGCCAGGCGUCGUAAACUUCUUUUGUCGGGGAACAAAGGGCGCCACGCGUGGCGUUGUGAGUGUACCCGAAGAAAAAGCAUCGGCUAACUCCGUGCCAGCAGCCGCGGUAAUACGUAGGGGGCAAGCGUUAUCCGGAUUUACUGGGUGUAAAGGGGGCGCAGACGGCGAUGCAAGCCAGGAGUGAAAGCCCGGGGCCCAACCCCGGGACUGCUCUUGGAACUGCGUGGCUGGAGUGCAGGAGGGGCAGGCGGAAUUCCUGGUGUAGCGGUGAAAUGCGUAGAUAUCAGGAGGAACACCGGUGGCGAAGGCGGCCUGCUGGACUGCAACUGACGUUGAGGCCCGAAAGCGUGGGGAGCAAACAGGAUUAGAUACCCGUGUAGUC